rnacentral:rRNA from 1 species
AUACGUAGGGGGCGAGCGUUGUCCGGAAUUACUGGGCGUAAAGGGCGUGUAGGCGGCUAAUUAAGUCAGAUGUGAAAGGCCCCGGCUUAACCGGGGUAUUGCAUUUGAAACUGGUUAGCUUGAGUGCAGGAGAGGAAAGUGGAAUUCCUAGUGUAGCGGUGAAAUGCGUAGAUAUUAGGAGGAACACCAGUGGCGAAGGCGACUUUCUGGACUGUAACUGACGCUGAGGCGCGAAAGCGUGGGUAGCGAACAGGAUUAGAUACCCUGGUAGUCCACGCUGUAAACGAUGGAUACUAGGUGUAGGGGGUAUCGAAACCCUCUGUGCCGGAGUAAACGCAAUAAGUAUCCCGCCUGGGGAGUACGGCCGCAAGGUUGAA